UGUCAAACGAUGAACGCCAGAUGUUUCGGUGUUUCUCGGGCGAGUCAGUUUCCGCAAUAGUUUGUACAGGUUUGCGUGACACGGUUAUACGGCUGUGCUAUAACUCCGAUUGAAAUCACUGACGCACCGGUUGGGAGGUUAGGUCGCUACGGACGCCUCCUCCUCCGCCUCUCUGGCCGCUUUCUCUCUCUCACUCUUCGAUUACGAUUGCACUCGCAGAAGGAACACGCGGCAUCGGACCAACGAAACGUUUUUCCCGCCACGUGAUAUACGCACAAUCUCCGCGAUACCGAUCGAACACAGCCAGUUAGAAAUCAAAUGACCAACCGAAAACAGUAUGACCGUGUACGCAAAGAAGUGAAACGUCAAGAGCCUCCGUACGCUUUACCGAGCUGGCCGUGGACGGGCCUCUUUGCUUGCUGACGUCAUCGCUUGCCCGCCGGCAUGAACUUCGUUGCACGCACGGAGAGUGCCGAGCCGAAUACCACCGGAUUUGCACGAACCUGCACGAUCGUCCUCGCCAGAACUGUAAUCUUUAUGGAGAAAGAAAAACGCAUGGAUCAAAGGCGGACACACGAAUACAACGUAUACAACGUAUACAUAUCAGUCGCUCUGAUGGCUUCUGAUGCAGAUGACGUGCAGAUUAGUGGUUGCAUCAGAGGGUUCUUGCUUUGAGACAUCCAGUUAAAGUGCUUCUCCUCUGCCCGAUGCAUUUCCGGAUAAUUUAGAUCGUGCAAUGCUCCCUCUGUCAUGUGCUUACCGCUACACAUAUAUCUGCAUAUGUAAGGGUAAGCUCGUUCAUCAAGUCGUUGACGUAUGAUAAAAUUGUUUACCGUCGUUGUCUUUUAAAUUCAUUUUGGUAUACCGUUAGACGUAAGUACAAUUAGGAAUAUGUUUUAGAAAUUAAACGUAUGAGAUUUUCAUUAAUUCUUUCCUUUAUGAUUUUUUAAACCGUGAUUAACGGAGUGUUAACUAUUUAUAGUUGUAACAACAUAUCAAAUAGAAAAUAUAAAGAUA